rnacentral:rRNA from 1 species
UACGGAGGGUGCAAGCAUUAAUCGGAAUUAUUGGGCGUAAAGGGCGCGUAGGCGGAUGUAAAAGUCAGAUGUGAAAUUCCGAAGCUCAACUUCGGAGCUGCAUUUGAAACUCUAUAUCUAGAGGGAUGGCGGAGAAAAUGGAAUUCCACGUGUAGCGGUGAAAUGCGUAGAUAUGUGGAAGAACACCAGUGGCGAAAGCGGUUUUCUAGCUAUUUCCUGACGCUGAGGCGCGAGAGCAAGGGGAGCAAACAGG